rnacentral:rRNA from 1 species
UACGGAGGAGGCAAGCGUUAUCCGGAAUUAUUGGGCGUAAAGCGUCCGCAGGCGGCCCUUCAAGUCUGUCGUCAAAGACUGGGGCUUAACCCUGGAAAGGCGGUGGAAACUGAAGCGCUAGAGUGCGGUAGGGGUAGAGGGAAUUCCCGGUGUAGAGGUGAAAUGCGUAGAGAUCGGGAAGAACAUCGGUGGCGAAAGCGCUCUACUGGACCGCAACUGACACUCAGGGACGAAAGCUAGGGGAGCGAAUGGG